rnacentral:rRNA from 1 species
UACGUAGGGUGCGAGCGUUAAUCGGAAUAACUGGGCGUAAAGUGUGCGCAGGCGGCGCCGCAAGUCGAGUGUGAAAGCCCCGGGCUUAACUUGGGAAUUGCGCUCGAAACUAUGGUGCUGGAGUGUGGCAGAGGAAGGUGGAAUUCCACGUGUAGCGGUGAAAUGCGUAGAGAUGUGGAGGAACACCGAUGGCGAAGGCAGCCUUCUGGGCCAACACUGACGCUCAUGCACGAAAGCGUGGGGAGCAAACAGG